AGACAACAAAAUGUUUAAUAUUAUUAUUUUGUCACCUUAGGUCGAUCGGUAUCUCAUGUUCUUAAUUUAUUAAGAAUUUCAUUUCCUAAGUUUUUCUAGGUCACACCCAUUAUUUUUCCUGGGCCAUUAGCUCAGGUGGUUAGAGCGCACCCCUGAUAAGGGUGAGGUCCCUGGUUCAAGUCCAGGAUGGCCCAUAUCUCUAUGUUGGGGGUAUAGCUCAGUUGGUAGAGCGCCUGCUUUGCAAGCAGGAUGUCAGCGGUUCGAGUCCGCUUACCUCCACUGAUUACCACCUCUUCCAUAAUCGGUAGAAAGGAAAAGUUUUGAGUUGUGAUCAAAUUCUGAACGAAUCUAGCUUCCUAAUGUAAGCAUUAAGAUGCUGGACUCAUUGAAUUAACUUCUUUGUUUUCAGAGAACCUUGACAACUGCAUAGAUUUUUUUUAAAGACAAUAAGCAUCUUUAAUGAUGCAGAUUUAUUAUUUGUGCGAAUGCAUUAAUAACAAUUCUAUUAAGCUGAUGCUUCAAUUUUGAAGUUAUU
rnacentral:tRNA from 1 species